ACACUGGCUGUUCUGCUCUUCAUGUCUGCUGGCAAAGUCAGGAAAAAGGAUGGAUGUAUCCUCACCAUUUUUUCAAGAGGAACCUGCAGAGGGCUAUGAAUCCAGUGUCACUUGAUUCUACUCAAUGGCUACCUUUGAGAUGUCAGGCUGGUCGCCUGAGUCAUGCAGUGUGCUGCUCCAGUUCCUACAGAUGCCGUGCCUCUUCCAGCAAACUCUGCUGCCCCCACAGAGCUCAAGAUCCUGCCUAUGAGUCACCACCAAGGGUUGGAGGCCUGUGUGACCUCCCAGGUGGUCCAGCUGCCUCUCCAGGAAGCUGUGCCAGAAAAGGCCUGCCAGGAACCAGCGGGCUGCCCUCCAAGGUUAAAAAUUUCCACAGACCAGUCAAAACCUUUUGGUGGCCGAGCGCAGUGGCUCACACCUAUAAUCCCGGCACUUUGGGAGGCCG
rnacentral:lncRNA from 1 species